rnacentral:tRNA from 2 species
GGGGCAGUAGCUCAGUGGUCAGAGCAGGGGACUCAUAAUCCCUCGGUCGCAGGUUCGAUCCCUGCCUGCCCCACCA